rnacentral:misc_RNA from 1 species
UACGGAGGGUGCAAGCGUUAAUCGGAAUUACUGGGCGUAAAGCGCGCGUAGGCGGUUUGGUAAGUCAAAUGUGAAAGCCCCGGGCUCAACCUGGGAAUUGCAUUCGAUACUGCCUGACUAGAGUAUGGUAGAGGGAAGUGGAAUUUCCGGUGUAGCGGUGAAAUGCGUAGAUAUCGGAAGGAACACCAGUGGCGAAGGCGACUUCCCGGGCCAAUACUGACGCUGAGGCGCGAAAGCGGGGGUAGCAAACAGG